GACGAACGCUGGCGGCGUGCUUAACACAUGCAAGUCGAGCGGUAAGGCCCUUUCGGGGGUACACGAGCGGCGAACGGGUGAGUAACACGUGGGUGACCUGCCCUCAGCUCUGGGAUAAGCCUGGGAAACCGGGUCUAAUACCGGAUAUGACUCCAUGACGCAUGUUGUGGGGUGGAAAGCCUUGUGCGGCUGAGGAUGGGCCCGCGGCCUAUCAGCUUGUUGGUGGGGUGAUGGCCUACCAAGGCGACGACGGGUAGCCGGCCUGAGAGGGCGACCGGCCACACUGGGACUGAGACACGGCCCAGACUCCUACGGGAGGCAGCAGUGGGGAAUCUUGCGCAAUGGCGAAAGCCUGACGCAGCGACGCCGCGUGAGGGAUGACGGCCUGUGUACU
rnacentral:rRNA from 1 species